UCUCCGUUGGUGAACCAGCGGAGGGAUCAUUACAGAGUUUUCACAACUCCCAACCCUCGCGAACCGUACCCAUUCUGUUCUCGUUGCUUCCGGCGGGGGGGACGGGGGGCCCGAAACGGCCUCCCCGCCCCGCCCGCCGGGGGCGGCGGGCCCUACGAACCUUUAUAACUCAACCACCAGAAACCGUCUGAGAAAACAAACAAAAUAAUCAAAACUUUCAACAACGGAUCUCUUGGCUCUG
rnacentral:misc_RNA from 1 species